rnacentral:miRNA from 1 species
UGGCCCUCCAGAUGUCUUGGUACUACAUCUCCCACCAUCCCUGACCACUGUUAGCUAGGGAUGAUGGGAGUUGUAGUCCCAAAACAUCUGGAGGGCCA